rnacentral:rRNA from 1 species
CGGUCCUAAGGUAGCGAAAUUCCUUGUCGGGUAAGUUCCGACCCGCACGAAAGGCGUAACGAUUUGGGCACUGUCUCAACAACAGACUCGGUGAAAUUGUAGUCCCGGUGAAGAUGCCGGGUACCUGCGACAGGACGGAAAGACCCCAUGGAGCUUUACUGUAGCUUGACAUUGGGUCUCGGUACUACAUGUACAGGAUAGGUGGGAGACUGAGAAAUCUGGGCGUCAGUUUAGAUGGAGUCAUCCUUGGGAUACCACCCUUGUAGUAUUGGGACUCUAACCAUAGGCCAUGAAUCUGGUCUUGGGACACUGUCUGGUGGGCAGUUUGACUGGGGCGGUCGCCUCCCAAAAGGUAACGGAGGCGCUCAAAGGUUCCCUCAGUACGGUCGGAAAUCGUACGAAGAGUGUAAAGGCAAAAGGGAGCUUGAUUGCAAGACAUACAGGUCGAGCAAGGUAGAAAUACGGACUUAGUGAUCCGGUGGUUCUGCGUGGAAGGGCCAUCGCUCAACGGAUAAAAGCUACCCUGGGGAUAACAGGCUUAUCUCCCCCAAGAGUCCACAUCGACGGGGAGGUUUGGCACCUCGAUGUCGGCUCAUCACAUCCUGGGGCUGUAGUUGGUCCCAAGGGUUGGGCUGUUCGCCCAUUAAAGUGGUACGCGAGCUGGGUUCAGAACGUCGUGAGACAGUUCGGUCCCUAUCCGUCGCAGGCGUAGGAAAUUUGAGGAGAUCUGUCCUUAGUACGAGAGGACCGGGAUGGACAUACCUCUGGUGUACCAGUUGUUCUGCCAAGGGCAUGGCUGGGUAGCUAUGUAUGGAAAGGAUAAGCGCUGAAAGCAUCUAAGCGCGAAGCCAACUUCAAGAUAAGAUUUCCCACCGCAAGGUUAAGAUCCCAGGAAGACUACCUGGUUGAUAGGUCAGAGGUGUAAGUGCAGCAAUGUAUGUAGCUUACUGAUACUAAUAGAUCGAGGACUUGACCAA